UCCGUCCCUGUGUCACUUCAUCUCUGCCUGUGCUUGCAAGAUGUUCCGUGUGAGAGGGUUGAGGGCAGGCCGAUGUCCCCGCUGGCUGUUGGGUGUGAUGGCAGAGGCCAGGACUCGUGUGGGCAGGUGUUGGAGGGAGCCGUGGCGGAGCGGUGGAGGUGGUGUCAUGUAUGGAAGGUGGAGGUUCUGGUUUGGCCAUCCAUGCGAGGUCGUUGUGCUUUGGAGCUUCCCUGUGCAGUUUUCCAGUGUGUCCUUGGGUGGAUGUCUUUCUGCUGC